ACAUCCAGAGAACUUAGCAGAGAUGCUUUGGUGCCUUCGGGAACUCUGAGACAGGUGCUGCAUGGCUGUCGUCAGCUCGUGUUGUGAAAUGUUGGGUUAAGUCCCGNAACGAGCGCAACCCUUAUCCUUUGUUGCCAGCGGUUCGGCCGGGAAACUCAAAGGAGACUGCCGGUGAUAAACCGGAGGAAGGUGGGGAUGACGUCAAGUCAUCAUGGCCCUUACGGCCAGGGCUACACACGUGCUACAAUGGCGCAUACAAAGAGAAGCGACCUCGCGAGAGCAAGCGGACCUCAUAAAGUGCGUCGUAGUCCGGAUUGGAGUCUGCAACUCGACUCCAUGAAGUCGGAAUCGCUAGUAAUCGUAGAUCAGAAUGCUACGGUGAAUACGUUCCCGGGCCUUGUACACACCGCCCGUCACACCAUGGGAGUGGGUUGCAAAAGAAGUAGGUAGCUUAACCUUCGGGAGGGCGCUUACCACUUUGUGAUUCAUGACUGGGGUGAAGUCGUAACAAGGUAGGCGUAGCGAG
rnacentral:rRNA from 1 species